rnacentral:rRNA from 1 species
UCAGAAAGAUUAUGGCUCAGAUUGAACGCUGGCGGCAGGCCUAACACAUGCAAGUCGAGCGGCAGCACGGGUACUUGUACCUGGUGGCGAGCGGCGGACGGGUGAGUAAUGCCUAGGAAUCUGCCUGGUAGUCCCCCAUAACGUUCGGAAACGAACGCUAAUACCGCAUACGUCCUACGGGAGAAAGCAGGGGACCUUCGGGCCUUGCGCUAUCAGUAGAGCCUAGGUCGGAUCAGCUAGUUGGUGAGGUAAUGGCUCACCAAGGCGACGAUCCGUAACUGGUCUGAGAGGAUGAUCAGUCACACUGGAACUGAGACACGGUCCAGACUCCUACGGGAGGCAGCAGUGGGGAAUAAAGGACAAUGGGCGAAAGCCUGAUCCAGCCAUGCCGCGUGUGUGAAGAAGGUCUUCGGAUUGUAAAGCACAAAAAGUUGGGAGGAACCGCAGUUACCUAAUACGUAAUUGAAAAGACGUUACCGACAGAAUAAGCACCGGCUAACUCUGUGCCAGGUCCCGCGGUAAUACAGAGGGUGCAAGCGUUAAUCGGAAUUACUGGGCGUAAAGCGCGCGUAGGUGGUUCGUUAAGUUGGAUGUGAAAUCCCCGGGCUCAACCUGGGAACUGCAUUCAAAACUGUCGAGCUAGAGUAUGGUAGAGGGUGGUGGAAUUUCCUGUGUAGCGGUGAAAUGCGUAGAUAUAGGAAGGAACACCAGUGGCGAAGGCGACCACCUGGACUGAUACUGACACUGAGGUGCGUUUGCGUGGGGAGCAAACAGGAUUAGAUACCCUGGUAGUCCACGCCGUAACGAUGUCAACUAGCCGUUGGGAGCCUUGAGCUCUUAGUGGCGCAGCUAACGCAUUAAGUUGACCGCCUGGGGAGUACGGCCGCUUGGUUAAAACUCAAAUGAAUUGACGGCCCCCCGCACAAGCGGUGGAGCAUGUGCAAAAAUUCG